GAGAGGCACAGCCUCUAUAGACCACAGAAUUCUACCUGUGGUCUGUAGACCAAAGCUUCAUCCAGGUUUUUUCCUGCUCACCAUCCUUUAUUCACAUCCCACUGGCAAAAAUAUCCUACAUAAGUGUGUUCUGCCUCACAUCUGUACCAAACAUGAGCAGCACCUCAGCCAGCCCCAGGAUACUCAUGAGGUAACAUCAAAACACCUUCAGUGAGAGAAAAGGAAGCAGUGAAUAGGGGAUGGUGAGCAAGAUAAAAAACUGGAUGAAGCUUCAAAAAAACUGUGGAUUUGUUCACAAAAUUUGGGGGGUUUGUCAACCCUAAUUUUUAUAAUAACCCGUGCUUUGAAGUACAUUUUGCCAUGUGAACUCUGAUAGGUUUUCACGCCUUAGUCUGAUACUGCUGUUCUACUCGAUAUUUUCUCUGGUUAUUCCUGCACAGGUUCACACUCACCAUUGCAUUUCUUUCUUUUUUUUUUUUUUUUCCCCCUGCCUUGCAAGAAACUCAUAAUCAGCCUCCCUGAAAAACUCUGCAGUUCAAGAGUGCCAUCUUGAGGCGUCCUACGUAUAAGGACUGUGUGCUGAUUGAACCUCGAGUAUUCAGGGAGUUAUUUACAUUUAAAAUAUCAUUUAAAAAAGGCAUGAGCAUGUGUAUAGAGGGGCAGUUCAUUUCUGCUGUGUAUUACCUGGAGCUAAGGGAUCUAGCCAACAGAAAUGUCAAGAUUUUCAAAAGCAAACAACACUAGUGACUGCUCUGCUUUGGGAUAUAGUACUUGAAAUGCCUCAGGAGAUACCUGGGGUUCAGACUGUGCUCAGUUCCAGCCAUCUGAAACAUCAAUGAACUUGCAAAGUAUUUUAAGCCAGGUACUGAAAAUGAAUAAUUAUUAUUGUAAUGUUUUUUUCUAUAAGAUGCGUGUUUGUGUAUUUAAUUUAAGUUAAAGGCAAUGUCAGAGGCCAAAUAAGACUUUGGCUUUCAAAACUAUUUUAAGUCUGCAUGGGGAGAAUAUUGCUUUAGAUAUUCCCAUGCUUUAAAAUAAAGGAGAAACCUUUGUGCUUUGGAGUAUAAGCUUAGGGAUUAUUAUGAAAUCUUUCUGCUUCUACAGCAUAGUCCAGACACCAGUAAUUUAUCCCUGCAGGAGAGCAAACAGGCAGAUUGUUACAACAAAUCAUGCAUAGGUUGAGAAUUUACCGUUGAAAGUGGGAUGUUGCUUUUCAUUCUUCCUGCUGUAGCUGCCAGGUGGCUUUGGGCUUGGGAAAAGGAUGUGUGCCAGCAGGUUCACAAUGAAGUGCCCUAAGGAUGAGGUGCCACAGGAAACCAGAGACCCUCAAAAAUACGCAUUUUUAGCACCACAAAUAAUCCCAUGUUUCCUUGUGAUACUUUUCAUUUGGAAGCUGAGCAGAAACAUAAACCUUUCUGAAGUGACUGCCCAUGAUGUACAUUGCCCAGUUAUCAGCACUAUCAAAGCUGCACAAGUAUGUUUCUUUUGGUAUUUUUACAAGAAUUUUAGAUUGCAUUAGAUGGGAAGUCCUAAAACUGUGAAUUUGACUGGAGUCCAGAUGAAAAGCAAUCUACCUCCAGCUACGUAAGAGUCAGUCUACAGGAAGAAGUCCUGCUUGUUUUCCAGCAGCAGCAGACUGCAGCAGAAGGUAAUUUUAUCCUCAGCGUUUAGUACAGCUACAACACAUCUCACAAAAGAAAUCCAGUAUCGGCUCUGAUCAUCCUUAAACUAUCAGGAUCUGAGUCAUAUCCCGGUCUGGAAGGAGGAGUGGGUAAGAAACUAAUUUCCCUUUCACAGCAAAGAAAACCACGAAUUUAAAUGAUUUUUUUUCUUGCUCAGAAGCCCAAAAUACCUUGCUAAUAAUCAGUGAAGUUGUGUCAGAUCUUCUGAACAGGGUGGGAGCACCUUGGGACAGCCCAUGGACUGCGCUUCCCACACAGACCUCCUUGUGCUGCCGGCCAGGGCAGCACUGGGAUAACUUGGGCUGAAAGAGAGGAUUUUUUGAUAGUCCAACAGAGCCUAAAUAGGACAGCCACAGUCGAGGGCUUAGAGCAAAUGAGGUCUAUCUCCACAAAGAAAGGCCAUUUUGGAGAUCUAGAUUGUCUUAAAACUAUUGACAGAGAAUAAAUGCCUGAUUCUGGGUGUAGCCUGUGUUAUUAAUUGAGGACUAACACACUGCUGAGCAUGAAUGGCGCAGCAGAGUCUGUCUCUGUGUGAGUGAGAGAUCGCUGAGACUGAGCUGGGAGCUGGUUCACUUGGAAACUAUGGCUUGGGAAUGAGCCAGGUGUCUAUUUUGGGUCUCUUCAUAGGCUGGAAUUGCCUGCAGUCAAGCUGGACUCCUUUCUAGGACAAGCCAAAAUGCUGCUCUGUCUUCUGGAGGAGCAAAGAGUAAGAACAGAGCAAUCACUAAAAAGGUUUCAAUUUAGUUGACUCUUAGCUCCAGGGAUGUUCAAAUAAUUUUCAGCUUGCUACUGUAAUUUUUAUGAUAAAUUUCCAGUGACAAUUGGGAAGCUAAUCAAAAGGUUCAGGAAGAUUUACACAAAAGUUAAUUCUGCAGUUUAAUCAACUACUGAAACAUUUUGAAUGUGGAAGUUCUGACAAUUAUUUAGCCAAAUGCUACAUUUACAUUUGCCAACGAGGGAUGAAAUUUGAGUACAUGUUAAUAUCCUUUUGAAUGUUUCACAAAAUUUGCAUUAAUCAAGGUAUUACUAAGUUGUCUUUGAAGUUUUUUGUUUUGCAGUGACUGCAGUGCAUCAUAACAUAUCUUACGUGGGCUGUAAAAGGAUGACAUUGUGUCCUGUCACAUCUUCAAGUUGUAUUCUAAGCAAGUAUUUUUGCCUGUGUUAGUAUGAAAUCUAAAUGUUCUGGAAAAUUGUAAUUUAGGAGCCUUUUUUGUUUAUCUUAUUCUGUACUUUCUUAAGAUAUUUUAGGUACUUAACAUUCAUAUGUAUGCCUUUCUACAAACUUGAUUUAUAAUUAUAAAUCAAAAAUAAUUAGUGCUGCCUUCUAAAAGGAUUCACACAAUUAAAAUUUUAAAGUUUUUUCUGUGAAAGAUAAUAAACUUUAUUCUCUGAAGAGAUAAAUGGAUAAAAGAAAAAGAAAACUUGCUUUACAACCACUGGCCAAAGACUAACUACUGACACUGAUUGGGGUGAUUUUCCCAGAUUAUGUUCAAAAAUGGGACUGAAGGACAUACAUCAGGAGAAAAUCAUUUCAUUGGAAGGAGAACAGCAGCUUGUCUGUCUUAAGCCAUCACUGCAGUGAUUUGGAAUGGUAAAUGCAGGAACAUUCCAUGGAUAUAGUUGUGAGUUGUAAAGUGAGAUGCCAGGUUCACCUGCCUGAAGGUCUAGAGUUGGAGAAAGCUGAAGAGGAAUGUAAGCAAAGAGACCCAACCAACCUCAUGCGCAAAUAAGUGAGAAAAUCAUUACAAAGAGAGCGUGUGUGCACAUGCAAAAUUUUGCCAUGUGAAUGAUGGUAUAUAUAAAUACAUACAUGCUACAUUGCAGCUGAAGGCACGAUUGUUCUACAGUCAACCCCAAAACUGCACAAAUGGGAACUUGCAAGUGUGUGCAGGCUGUGAAUUCCUCAUGGUGUGAGGAGGCACCAUGAGUGUUACCUUCACCUACACCAGGCAUCAGCCAAGCCACCCAUGAUACAAAGCCAACAAUAUCAGUUCAACCCAGAUUGAAAGAAAAAAAAUAAUUGUAAAGCUGUCCAUAUUAAAAAAAUAUAAAAUAAAAAAUAAAUAUG